AAACGCGACAAGUUCAGGGUGUAAUUGAUACUUCUGUCUUAUGAAAAAAAUAGGAAGUUUAGAAAUGCACUCUUUAAUUUUGGCAUGCAAUAUCGAUCUCCCGUACAAAUUUCGAUUACGGGCACGGUACGCAGUUCACAUAUUUACUUGUGACAUCUGUUUUAACCCAAUCUCACCUGAAUCCAAGACUUUGUUAACUUAGAUGUGGAAGCAUGAGUGGCAAUGGGGUUGGUGAAGAGGACAACAAUUUUGUAGCAAGUGCUUGUCAUAUGAGGAAAAGCCAAAGUAUCAUUCUUACUUUUGGUUAUAGCUAAUCCUUCCACUAGUUUCUACUUUUAUAAACAACCAUUUACAAGUUAGGUAGGUUGGUGAUAAUUGAGAACCUUUACACCUUCUUUUUAAAGAAGAAUAAACUAAUAAUGUAAACUCCAACAAUGUUUUGCUUCAAGACAAAGUAAUCUUAUGAGUUAGCAAGUCUCUAUAAAAGGAACACACAAGUUUAAGAGAGACAGCCUAUCACGUUAGAUCUCCUCUUCAUAGAUCCACUAGUUGAGAAACUCCAGUAAUUACAAGAUCUAAUAAGGUAAAUUCCUCAACCCCUUCUCUUCUCGGACUUCACUAAAUCCACAGGAUACUUGCGACCUCCCACCAACAAUAGAUAUCAGGUCUUAUGGCUAGUGAUGGACCAAGUUGGGCAGAUCAAUGGGGUGCAGGAGGGAUAGGUGCGAUGGAUGAAGAUGACGGCUAUUCUAAGAGCAACAAAGAAAGUGGCAACAACAAGAAAGCCACUGCUUCAUCAGGAGGAAUUGGCAAGGUGAAAGCAGUGGCAGUGGCUGGUGCACACAAGGUGAAAAAUGGUCCUUCCAUUUUCAUCAAAUGGGUUAGGAGCAAAUCCCAGAAGAAAAAUUCUUCCAUUUCAUGAAAAUAGUGAAAGACUAUUUAGUCUUUAUCUUGCCUUCUGUAAGAGGAUUUCAGAUCAAGCAUGUCUUGUUUGGGGUUCCAAAUGGAAAUCAUGGAUUGUUGUGCUUCGUUGGUAUCAUUUGUUUAGUGUUGUAAGUUUCAGGUAGUGACUUGUUUCUGGGUGAGUUGAACUUCCAUGCACCAAUGGUGUAAAUAUAAUGUGUUUAACUAGAUUACUUUUACGGUAAUUACAUGUUAAUUUUUAAGACUCGAA